rnacentral:tRNA from 1 species
GGUGGAGUGGCCGAGUGGUUAGGCUGCGGCAUGCAACGCCGUACAGACAGGUUCGACUCCUGUCUCCACCU